rnacentral:rRNA from 1 species
UACGUAGGGUGCAAGCGUUAAUCGGAAUUACUGGGCGUAAAGCGUGCGCAGGCGGUUUUGUAAGUCUGACGUGAAAUCCCCGGGCUCAACCUGGGAAUUGCGUUGGAGACUGCAAGGCUGGAGUCUGGCAGAGGGGGGUAGAAUUCCACGUGUAGCAGUGAAAUGCGUAGAUAUGCGGAGGAACACCGAUGGCGAAGGCAAUCCCCUGGGCCUGUACUGACGCUCAUGCACGAAAGCGUGGGGAGCAAACAGG